rnacentral:rRNA from 1 species
UGGAUUCGCUAGUAAUCGCGCAUCAGCCAUGGCGCGGUGGAAUAACGUUCCCGGGCCUUGUACACACCGCCCGUCAAGCCAUGGGAGCCGGGGGUGGCUUGAAGUGCGUCGCCGCAAGGCGCGCCCUAGAGCAAAACCGGUGACUGGGGCUAAGUCGUAACAAGGUAUC